rnacentral:rRNA from 1 species
AUUGAACGCUGGCGGCAUGCCUUACACAUGCAAGUCGAACGGCAGCACGGUUGCUUGCACCUGGUGGCGAGUGGCGGACGGGUGCGUAAUACAUCUGAACCUGUCCCGUAGUGGGGGAUAGCCCGGCGAAAGCCGGAUUAAUACCGCAUACGCUCACCGGAUGAAAGCGGGGGCCCUUCAUGCCCCGCCCUAGCGCGUUGGCCGAUGGCUGAUUAGCUAGUUGGUGGGGUAAAGGCCUACCAAGGCGACGAUCAGUAGCUGGUCUGAGAGGACGAGCAGCCACACUGGGACUGAGACACGGCCCAGACUCCUACGGGAGGCAGCAGUGGGGAAUUUUGGACAAUGGGCGAAAGCCUGAUCCAGCAAUGCCGCGUGUGUGAAGAAGGCCUUCGGGUUGUAAAGCCCUUUUGUCCGGAAAGAAAACCUGGGCCCUAAUACGGUCGGGGGAUGACGGUACCGGAAGAAUAAGCACCGGCUAACUACGUG